rnacentral:lncRNA from 10 species
CACCAGGGGCACUGGUUUCUGCACCAGCUGCCUCCCUCUCUCCAGUAAUGGCUUUUGCUUUGCCUUGGAGGAGCCCACCCCUGUUGGACGCAGAUGAAGAUGCCAAGGGGAGCCUGGCUGACCAUGGAGCCAUCAUGGAGGGAGGCAGAGCUGAGGGCGUGGGGAGGUCCCAGCUGCAUCACAGGAGCCCCUGGAUCCAGCCGCACCUGAAGUUCCAACGUCGCACGGUGGGACUCUGGGCAGGGUCCUCCCUCUCCAUCUUCCCCUCGCUGGGACCCAGCACGGCACAGGAGGGGUGGCCAACACCAUUUAGACAUCAGAACUGUCCAGAGUGUUCUGCC